rnacentral:rRNA from 1 species
GAUGAACGCUAGCGGGAGGCUUAACACAUGCAAGUCGAGGGGCAUCACGGGGUAGCAAUACUCUGGUGGCGACCGGCGCACGGGUGAGUAACACGUAUGCAACCUGCCUCGUACAGGGGGGAUAACCCGGAGAAAUUCGGACUAAUAUCCCAUGGAAAUAUUGAGAGGCAUCUUUUUGAUAUUUAAAGUUCCGGCGGUACGGGAUGGGCAUGCGUAACAUUAGCUAGUUGGUAAGGUAACGGCUUACCAAGGCUUUGAUGUUUAGGGGGUCCUGAGAGGGUGGUCCCCCACACUGGUACUGAGACACGGACCAGACUCCUACGGGUGGCUG